AAACUGUCUACCUUGGUCAUGCGUGAUGGUGUGAGGUAUUCCGAACCUAGAGAAAUAAUUUCGAAAGAGAGUAUCGGCUAUCGUUGAAGCGGCGAUAUCUUUGAGCGGAAAAGCUUCUGGCCAGCGAGUGAAGCGGUCAAUUGCAGUGAGUAAGUUUUAAUUGUUGUACCGUUGGCAGCGGAAAGCGAAGAGAUGGUAUCUUGUUUUCGAUUUGAAUAAAAUUUAAAAGGUAGUACAGAAACAUCGGCUCCAGUGUCAAUUAAAAAAUUUAGAUUAUUUUGGUUGUCGAAAAUGAAAAGACGCGAACUUGUAGGAUUGAUAGAAAAUUGGGAUUGCCAUUUUGGCGAAAUUUUGAAUUUGGAAAAAGAUGGUUUUCUAUUGAAACUGGGUAUUAGUUUUUGGGUGGGACAAAUUAUUUGUUUUAUUGUUGAACGAUGUGGAAAAUUUACACCAAGAUCCUUGGCAUUUCUCCGCCCUAUCAGCGAAUUUAUGGUGAUACCAACAUAUAUAUUAGAAGGCGCAGAGGAAUUUGACUACCACGCGAAUGUUGGGAUGAGGAGCGCGAUCUACUUCUGGAGUAAUGGCAACUACGACAGCGUUGGGGGAGACGGAAGUCGUUGGGAUAAGGCUUGAAUAGUGACUGAAAGGUUUUGAAGAGAUGCUGUUAUAUCUUCUUGGGAACGAGUCGCGAAAGAGACAACUGGAAGGGGUCUGGGACAACUGGGCUGUUGCUCUGCUGUUGUCUGGAGCGAUGUGGUUCGGGUGUAGGUUUAAAAUAAUCGUUAGGGCAGGUUCAAAUAUUCGUCGGAGUAGGUUCAAAUCAUCUUGGUGUGCAGGUUCUAAU